AUUGAACGCUGGCGGCAGGCUUAACACAUGCAAGUCGAGCGGGGUGAUGGUGCUUGCACUAUCACUUAGCGGCGGACGGGUGAGUAAUGCUUAGGAAUCUGCCUAUUAGUGGGGGACAACAUCUCGAAGGGGAUGCUAAUACCGCAUACGUCCUACGGGAGAAAGCAGGGGAUCACUUGUGACCUUGCGCUAAUAGAUGAGCCUAAGUCGGAUUAGCUAGUUGGUGGGGUAAAGGCCUACCAAGGCGACGAUCUGUAGCGGGUCUGAGAGGAUGAUCCGCCACACUGGGACUGAGACACGGCCCAGACUCCUACGGGAGGCAGCAGUGGGGAAUAUUGGGCAAUGGGGGGAACCCUGAUCCAGCCAUGCCGCGUGUGUGAAGAAGGCCUUAUGGUUGUAAAGCACUUUAAGCGAGGAGGAGGCCCUUUUGGUUAAUACCCAAGAUGAGUGGACGUUACUCGCAGAAUAAGCACCGGCUAACUCUGUGCCAGCAGCCGCAGUAA
rnacentral:rRNA from 1 species